rnacentral:rRNA from 1 species
GAUGAACGCUAGCGGCAGGCCUAACACAUGCAAGUCGAGCGCGCCUUCGGGCGAGCGGCGGACGGGUUAGUAACGCGUGGGAACGUGCCCAGAUCUACGGAAUAGCCACUGGAAACGGUGAGUAAUACCGUAUACGCCCUUCGGGGGAAAGAUUUAUCGGAUUUGGAUCGGCCCGCGUUAGAUUAGGUAGUUGGUGGGGUAACGGCCUACCAAGCCUACGAUCUAUAGCUGGUUUUAGAGGAUGAUCAGCAACACUGGGACUGAGACACGGCCCAGACUCCUACGGGAGGCAGCAGUGGGGAAUCUUAGACAAUGGGCGAAAGCCUGAUCUAGCCAUGCCGCGUGAGUGAUGAAGGCCCCUAGGGUCGUAAAGCUCUUUCAACUGUGAAGA